rnacentral:rRNA from 1 species
CUGAGAAUAAUGCCCGAUAGAACAUUAUACCUGGAAUGGUUUAUGUUUCAAAUGAUUUAUCGCCAUAGGAUGGGACUGCGGCCUAUCAGUUUGUUGGUGAGGUAAUGGCCCACCAAGACUAUUACAGGUACGGGCUCUGAGAGGAGUAGCCCGGAGAUGGGUACUGAGACACGGACCCAGGCCCUAUGGGGCGCAGCAGGCGAGAAAACUUUGCAAUGUGCGAAAGCACGACAAGGUUAAUCCGAGUGAUUUCUGCUAAAGAGAUCUUUUGUUAGUCCUAGAAACACUAACGAAUAAGGGGUGGGCAAGUUCUGGUGUCAGCCGCCGCGGUAAAACCAGCACCUCAAGUGGUCAGGAUGAUUAUUGGGCCUAAAGCAUCCGUAGCCGGCUCUGUAAGUUUUCGGUUAAAUCUGUACGCUCAACGUACAGGCUGCCGGGAAUACUGCAGAACUAGGGAGUGGGAGAGGUAGACGGUACUCGGUAGGAAGUGGUAAAAUGCUUUGAUCUAUCGAUGACCACCUGUGGCGAAGGCGGUCUACCAGAACACGUCCGACGGUGAGGGAUGAAAGCUAGGGGAGCAAACCGGAUUAGAUACCCGGGUAGUCCCAGCUGUAAACUAUGCAAACUCAGUGAUGCAUUGGCUUGUGGCCAAUGCAGUGCUGCAGGGAAGCCGUUAAGUUUGCCGCCUGGGAAGUACGUACGCAGGUAUGAAACUUA